rnacentral:rRNA from 1 species
CAUACCUAUUCGAAGGGAUAGGGUCGGUUCGACCGGGUUUCACACAGGUGUUGCAUGGCUGUCGUCAGCUCGUGUCGUGAGAUGUUGGGUUAAGUCCCGCAACGCGCGCAACCCUCAUCCUUAGUUGCCAUCAGGUAAUGCUGGGGACUUUAAGGAAACUGCCAGUGAUAAACUGGAGGAAGGUGGGGAUGAUGUCAAGUCAUCAUGGCCCUUAUGGAGUGGGCUACACACGUACUACGUUUCGUGUCUUGUACACACUGCCCGUCACGCCAUGGGAAUUGGUUUCACUCGAAGCU